GCUGUGCUCACCAUACAACUCUUGCAGGUGAAGGAGGAUCUCACUUGCACUUUGCAUAUUUUCAUGCUGCUUCUGUAACUCAUUACUCAAAGAAGCAAGCAUGUAACAUUUGGCUCUCAUAUCAUGCUCCUUUCACUUUUCCAAAGUAUCUAGUUCCUCUUGAGUGGCCUCUGGAGAUAAAGGACCAGGAACAUUUAAAUCUAGAACAUAUCCUAUAUGUU
rnacentral:misc_RNA from 1 species